CGGGUAUCCAUCUUGAAGCUAAAUGAUAUCAGCUAUUUAAAAUCUGAACACAUUUUAUACAUUGCCCUGAAUCUAUAACACCAAGAGAAGUGUCAAACAAUACAGUAAACGAGGAAGAAUGGCCAGUCUUAGAAAUUAUCUUGUUGAGUUCUGAUUUGGAAACAUAUUUGAUAAUCCAAAAAAGGCUAAGAGUGAAAAAGAAAAGUUUAAAAUCAAACUAAAGUGACCAAAAUGAAUGUGAAACAGUUUUCUGGAAAAGCUUGUGUGAAGGAAGCUUUCACUGAUUUGAACAAGGCACUGAAGGAGCUUGUCAUUUGUAAUUUGGUGUAUGUUUUAUCUUUCCAAGGAGAAGGGGUAACCAGAAAUCAUAACUGAAAGGAUCAAAGUACUCUUGUCAGCAUUUAAAACUCUAUCUAGAACAAGAAUCAUAAAAAUAAAGAGCAAAUGAUAAAACGGAACCGAAAACAAUUACAUAUUUCUGACACAGGCAAAAGCCAAGAAGACUGCAUUUAAAAUUGAUGAAGGACCAAGGCUUGCUAACACACAUUACAGAAUUCUCUGUAUGUCCAUCACAUGAUAAUGCACCUCAAAGGAAUGAAGACUUAAAGGCAAGGAGAAAGACUUGUCACUUUAUUUUUAUUUCCUAGAUCACAGCUAAUUCUAAUGUGUAGAUGGGCAGGAGAAACUACAAUUUAAACCCAAUUCAUCUGCGGUCAGAAGCAGUAUUUCCACCUACUUGUCACCCCAAAUGUGAAGGAGGAACAGGAGAAGCGCCUGGGAGAAGGAAGUAUGUAUGUAUGAGUGAAGAUAGAAAAUAAAUAAUUUACAGGAGAACAAAUACGAUAUUUAUGAAAUAGGAAGAUAUGAUUCAUUUUCAGAA
rnacentral:lncRNA from 1 species